GUUGAGCACCGGAUUGACAUGCUUCCUAAACCUUGACAGAAGAUAUAUGUUCACUUAGAGCAGAUGUAGAAAGGCUAGCUUUCUCAGCUAUUUGGGAAAUGUCGCCUGAUGCGGAGAUUAUCUCGACUAGAUUUACAAAAAGUAAUAUCAAAUCAUGUGCUGCAUUGUCUUAUGUUGAAGCGGAGGCUAGGAUGGAUGAUAGGUGCUUUAAUAUAGCCUUUCGACUAAUUUUCAAUGAUAAGUGUUUAUUUUCUUCUCGUUUAGUUAUUG